UACAGAGGGUGCAAGCGUUAAUCGGAUUUACUGGGCGUAAAGCGUGCGUAGGCGGCCAGGCAAGUUGGAUGUGAAAUCCCCGAGCUUAACUUGGGAACUGCAUCCAAAACUAUCUGGCUAGAGUGUGGUAGAGGGCGGUGGAAUUCCCGGUGUAGCGGUGAAAUGCGUAGAUAUCGGGAGGAACAUCAAUGGCGAAGGCAGCUGCCUGGGCCAACACUGACGCUGAGGUACGAAAGCGUGGGGAGCAAACAGG
rnacentral:rRNA from 1 species